GAUGAACGCUGGCGGCGUGCCUAAUACAUGCAAGUCGAGCGAACAGACGAGGAGCUUGCUCCUCUGACGUUAGCGGCGGACGGGUGAGUAACACGUGGAUAACCUACCUAUAAGACUGGGAUAACUUCGGGAAACCGGAGCUAAUACCGGAUAAUAUAUUGAACCGCAUGGUUCAAUAGUGAAAGACGGUUUUGCUGUCACUUAUAGAUGGAUCCGCGCCGCAUUAGCUAGUUGGUAAGGUAACGGCUUACCAAGGCAACGAUGCGUAGCCGACCUGAGAGGGGGAUCGGCCCACCGGGAACGGAGACCCCGCCCCACCUCCCGCGGGGGGCCGGCGUAGGAACCCUUCCGCAAGGGGGGAAACCCUGACGGGGCAACCCCGCUGGAGGAAUAAAGGUUUUCGGAUCGUAAACCUCUUUUAUUGGGGAAAAACAAAUGUUUAAGUAACAUUCCACUUCUUAGCGUAACCUAAUCAGAAACCCCCGGUAAAUUCCGG
rnacentral:rRNA from 1 species